AUUUUUUAGAACCCAAUGAUGCACGGUCAUGCUUCUUGCUUUGCUCUGUUUUCCGAAGAUGCUGAGAUUUCCAUUGAGGACUUGGUGAGAUACAGCAUCGGGAUGAGGUUGCUUGAUCAAAUACACCUAAAUACAGUUGAAGACGUCAGAGCCAGAGUACUUACAUUGGUUGAUGGGCUCAAAUCAUCUUGUUUGUUGUUAGAUGGCAUAAACCCAAUUGGGGUCAAAAUGCAUGAUGUUAUUCGAGAUGUUGCUAUAUCAAUCGCGGAAGAUGAGAAAGGAUAUCUAGUGAAUCAUGAUAUCAAAAAGUGGCCAGAGAAGGGCACAUAUGAACAUUACUUGGCAAUGUCAUUAAGGUUCACCACAACUAUCUGCGAGCUUCCCAAUGAGUUGGAAUGUAGAGGACUCCAUACCUUGGUGUUGAAAAGCAACAAUGACUGCUCACGAACAGAUGUUCCAAACAAUUUUUUCAAUGGAAUGGAAAACAAUCUUGAAGUCCUGGAUCUGAGUGAAAUUCCUCUAGAGAGCCUCCCAUCGUCACUUCCAACAUUAGUCAAGCUUCGGUUGUUGUCCCUAAAUGGCCUACUGAAGAUAGACAUAGGCUUAGCUCUAUUGGGGAGAUUAAGGAACCUUGAGAUACUUAGCCUUCAAAAUAUGGAAAAGGUUCCGCUUCAUGAUGAAGAUGGAACAGGGUUUUCUAAAUUAAAGUAUCUUAAAGUUAAAGAAUGUUCUGAUGUUGAACAUCUUCUUUGCACACCAGAAAUGUUUCUGAAAGCUCAGCCACAAAGUCCACCACGGUCUUUUUGUAACUUGUGCAAAUUAAUUGUUAAAAGAUGUAGAUUUACAUUUCUAUUCUCCCUCUCGGUUGCAAGAGGCCUUGUGCAACUCCAAUAUCUAAAAAUCAGAGACUGAGAAUAUGGAAGAAAUUAUUAGAAAUUAAAGACAAGGAGAUGAUGAGGAAAUUAUUUUUCAUCAUUUAAAAAAAAUGGAUUUAUGGAAGUUACCCAACCUCAGAAGCUUCUGUUCGAGCACGAAGAACACUUCAACAAUAGAGGCAAACAAUUCUAACCCUUCACAACCUCUCUUUUGUGAAAAGGUGGCAUUCCCUGCAUUGGGGGACUUGGAUGUUUCGGGUUUAGAUAAGAUAUCAGGGAUAGCAGGGGACAAACAAUUAAAACACCCAAUCAAAGAAGAAGAGAAAGAAUCCUUUUGGAAACUAAGGAACCUACCGUGUCUCCAACGUCUACAUAUAUUUGGUGGUAACAACUUGAAAGCAAUAGUAGUAGCUAAUAAGGAAGGAGGUGCCUACGAUAAGCCUCUUGUUUUCCCUAAACUGUGUUCUCUACAUUUAUAUAAUCUGCGGAAUCUGAAAAGUUUCUAUGGCCAUUGUGGACCUAAAGAAGAAGAGGAAGAAGAAUACCUCCAACCACAACCCCUCUUUAAUGAAAAGGUUGUGUUUCCUUGCUUGGAAGAGUUGAGCAUUCGGUCCAUGGCCAACAUUGAACAGAUAUGGAUUAGCACACCUCCAACCAACUCCUUCAACAAACUAACAAGUUUGUAUGUGUGCAAAUUUAACAGAUUAGUGUAUGUUGCUCCAUUAGAACUACUUGGAAGUUUGCAGAAUCUACAAUCCAUUUGUAUAACAGAAUGUGAGUUACUAGAAGAGGUAUUCAAAACCAGAAGAUCAAAUGUAGGGGAAGGAAUAGUUUUAAGAGAUGAAGCAACAAGCAAACAAGUUGAAAUCACUCAUGUGCUCCCUCAAUUAGAAAGAGUUUUCCUUAAAAAAUUACCAUGUUUGAUAAGCUUUUGCUCUGGGUAUAAAUUGGCACCAUCAGUACAGUUGUCAAUAGAAGAAUGUCCCUCCUUGAGACCCCUAAUGUAAGAGAAAAUCAAUGAAUCUUUCCAUUCCAAUGAAGAGGUAUGCCAUUGAUUCUUA